rnacentral:rRNA from 1 species
UACGUAGGGUGCGAGCGUUAAUCGGAAUUACUGGGCGUAAAGCGUGCGCAGGCGGCUCGUUAAGACAGGUGUGAAAUCCCCGGGCUCAACCUGGGAAUGGCGCUUGUGACUGGCGGGCUGGAGUACGGCAGAGGGAGGUGGAAUUUCCCGUGUAGCAGUGAAAUGCGUAGGGAUGUGGAGGAACACCGAUGGCGAAGGCAGCCUCCUGGGCCAGUACUGACGCUCAUGCACGAAAGCGUGGGGAGCAAACAGG